GAAUGCUCUUCUCUGACUUCUCUGCCCGAUACACUCCUACCAGUCUUUCAAUGUCCAGCAUAGCAUCACCUCUUCUAUGAAGCCCUUCCUGACCUCCAGAUCAGUUCUGGAGGCUAGAAUCCAAGAUCAAGGUGUCGACAAAGUUGAUUCCUUCUGAGGGAUGUGAGGAAGAAUCUAUUCCAGGCAUUUGCCUAGCUUCUGGCGGUCUGCUGGCCAUCUUUGGCACUCCUUGGCUUGUAGAAGCAUCACCGAUCUCUGCCUUCAUCUACACGUGGUGUUCUCCCUGUGUGCGCAUCCGGGACACUGUGAUCAACUAGCCAACGCAGACGUCUCUGUAAAUCAGACUGUUCUGAAUGGUUCUCUGGCACUGCUGUCCAUACCAGUAACCAUGGUACACAUUGUCUUUGGUAAGUAAAUACCACCGCUUGACCCCUGCCAUUCCAGGAUCUCAUUCUCCCCAAUUACUUAUUUAAAAAAAAAAGAUUUUAUU